UACGGGAGGCAGCAGUGGGGAAUAUUGCACAAUGGGGGAAACCCUGAUGCAGCCAUGCCGCGUGUGUGAAGAAGGCCUUCGGGUUGUAAAGCACUUUCAGUAGGGAGGAAAGGGUGUAGCUUAAUACGCUAUAUCUGUGACGUUACCUACAGAAGAAGGACCGGCUAACUCCGUGCCAGCAGCCGCGGUAAUACGGAGGGUCCGAGCGUUAAUCGGAAUUACUGGGCGUAAAGCGUGCGCAGGCGGUUUGUUAAGCGAGAUGUGAAAGCCCUGGGCUCAACCUAGGAAUAGCAUUUCGAACUGGCGAACUAGAGUCUUGUAGAGGGGGGUAGAAUUCCAGGUGUAGCGGUGAAAUGCGUAGAGAUCUGGAGGAAUACCGGUGGCGAAGGCGGCCCCCUGGACAAAGACUGACGCUCAUGCACGAAAGCGUGGGGAGCAAACAGGAUUAGAUACCCUGGUAGUCCACGCCGUAAACGAUGUCUACUCGGAGUUUGGUGUCUUGAACACUGGGCUCUCAAGCUAACGCAUUAAGUAGACCGCCUGGG
rnacentral:rRNA from 1 species